AGCUGAGGCCUCCCACCAAUAGCCACGUGAGGGAGCCAGAGUGGGAGCGGCUCCUCCAGCCCCAGUCGAACCCUCAGAUGUGACAGCCUUGGCUGCUGACAGUUUGCAAUCUCAUGAGAGACCCUGAGCCAGAACCACCCAGCUAAAUCAGUCCUGGACUCCUGAUCGACAGAAAUGGUGUAGACCAAAGAGAGGCGUUUUGGACAUUAAGACGCUUUGCUGCUUCUCACCUGAAACACGUAACAGGAACACCAACCUCUCCAGCCACGGGAAAUCUUCUUUGACACAAAACUCAAACCAAGUCAACCCAAAGUUCCAAGUUCUUUGCUUUCUUUUCUGUGUGUGUGUUGGUUUGUCCCAAAAGUCAGUUUGCAAGUUGAAACUUCAUGAAAUUACUCGUAGCAGAAAUAAAGUACAUUGUACAAAUCA
rnacentral:antisense_RNA from 1 species